UGUCUGGGAAACUGCCUGAUGGAGGGGGAUAACUACUGGAAACGGUAGCUAAUACCGCAUAAUGUCGCAAGACCAAAGUGGGGGACCUUCGGGCCUCAUGCCAUCAGAUGUGCCCAGAUGGGAUUAGCUAGUAGGUGGGGUAAUGGCUCACCUAGGCGACGAUCCCUAGCUGGUCUGAGAGGAUGACCAGCCACACUGGAACUGAGACACGGUCCAG
rnacentral:rRNA from 1 species